rnacentral:lncRNA from 1 species
CUUGCCAAGAUAGCGAUCUGCUCUUAUAUUAUAGAUAUUAUAAGACGAUAUUAGAAAAAAGAACCCCUCUCUCUUUCCUUUAUGUGCGCUCUCUCUUCAGUCAUGUGCUUAAAUAAUUAGGAGACGAAGGGAUUUGCAACUUUGGUGAUGCUUUGUUUUUAUGGAAGAUGAUGAAGAAGGUGGAAGGAUUGCGGAUUUGGUGCGGCGUCGGUUUACAUAAUCGAAGCUUUCUCUACACGUUGAUGGGAUACUGGAUUCGUUUCUGCACAACACAUUGAGACUGGUCAAAAGAGUUAAAUUGGGGAAGAACUUUUAGCAUCUACCCAUCAAAGACCAUUGU